GGGAGUGCCUUGGUUUCGAUAAUAAACAUAUUUGCUUAUGUUGUAAGACAUGGACUCUAGGCUGCAUGUAAAAACACCUAGAAACUGAUAAGUGCAAAAGACUUAUUCGCUAAAGCUACGUUCACAUUCCGUGUUCCAGCUUUUGCUCCUGUUGUAGCUUAAUAGCCACAACCAUCUGGCCAAUGAUUUCUAGUAGUUGUUACCAGGUGUCAUAAACUAGAAUAGGUUAAGAUAGUACUUUUAUAUUUUAACUAAAACAAAAAUAAGUUCGUUGAUGACCAUCUUUUCUAAAUUUAUAAAUCAUCGACCAAACAGAUAAAUUAAGAUAAUCUUGCUACAAAAUGUAAUCGAAUAAUUUAUUAGACGCGGGUUCGAUCCCCGCCACUUCCACAU
rnacentral:tmRNA from 1 species